rnacentral:rRNA from 1 species
CACGGGGGGAGCAAGCGUUGUUCGGAAUCACUGGGCGUAAAGGGCGCGUAGGCGGCCUGCUAAGUCGAACGUGAAAUCCCUGGGCUCAACCCAGGAACUGCGUCCGAUACUGGUUGGCUUGAAUCCGGGAGAGGGAUGUGGAAUUCCAGGUGUAGCGGUGAAAUGCGUAGAUAUCUGGAGGAACACCGGUGGCGAAGGCGACAUCCUGGACCGGUAUUGACGCUGAGGCGCGAAAGCCAGGGGAGCAAACGGG